CAGAAACGGACCAAUCGAGGCGCACGUUUAGGGCGACGUCACAACAUGGUGUCCCUCUGUGUACAGCGAGUUUCGGAGAAGUUCUGCAACUGCAAGACUGAUGUACAAAAAUCUAUAGUUAGUCUGUCAUUCUUUUAAAGAUAAGAAGACGUUUUCGAAAAGUAACGUUAGUUGAAUUUAUGAUACCCAUUGUCAUCAGUUUUUGUGCAGAUUUACUAUGGCACAAAUUAAUGUUUUCUGUAGACGUCGUAUAGCGAGAUUGUUUGUUACUGUGGUUACUCCUAGAUAACGUUUAUCUCGUAAGUUGCAUUACAGUUUAUAAUUUUCGCCAAGAUAUGCACUUCUGGAGUCAUAUAUGAAUACAAGUGAGGGGACAGAUGUCACAGAUUGAGCCGACCCCCCCUCCCGCUGCUCCGCCUCUUCCCCUCCCUAUCAAAGGCCUGGGAGUGCUGGGGUACACAUCAAUCAUUCUGAGUGACAGCUGAUGGACCCCAUUGACCUCCUACGUAGGGGGAAAAAUCUACUGGGUCAAUCAACUGUACUGAUAUUCUUCAAAGUGUCUUCUUUUGGAAGAUAGGUCAGAAGAAUGAAGUUUGGAACAAC